rnacentral:tRNA from 1 species
CAGGGGUUAUUUUACAUAAAAUGCUGGUUUUGGAGACCAGUGACGGGAAAUCAUUGUCCUACUCCUGA